GAUGAACGCUGGCGGCGUGCCUAAUACAUGCCAGUCGAGCGAACGGACGAGAAGCUUGCUUUUCUGAUGUUAGCGGCGGACGGGUGAGUAACACGUGGAUAACCUACCUAUAAGACUGGGAUAACUUCGUGAAACCGGAGCUAAUACCGGAUAAUAUUUUGAACCGCAUGGUUCAAAAGUGAAAGACGGUCUUGCUGUCACUUAUAGAUGGAUCCGCGCUGCAUUAGCUAGUUGGUAAGGUAACGGCUUACCAAGGCAACGAUGCAUAGCCGACCUGAGAGGGUGAUCGGCCACACUGGAACUGAGACACGGUCCAGACUCCUACGGGAGGCAGCAGUAGGGAAUCUUCCGCAAUGGGCGAAAGCCUGACGGAGCAACGCCGCGUGAGUGAUGAAGGUCUUCGGAUCGUAAAACUCUGUUAUUAGGGAAGAACAUAUGUGUAAGUAACUGUGCACAUCUUGACGGUACCUAAUCAGAAAGCCACGGCUAACUACGUG
rnacentral:rRNA from 1 species